UACAGAGGGUGCGAGCGUUAAUCGGAAUUACUGGGCGUAAAGCGCACGUAGUCGGCUUUGCAAGUCGGGUGUGAAAUCCCCGGGCUCAACCUGGGAACUGCAUCCGAGACUGCAUUGCUAGAGUAUGGGAGAGGGAAGCGGAAUUUCUGGUGUAGCAGUGGAAUGCGUAGAGAUCCGGAGGAAGACCGGUGGCGAAGGCGGCCUGCUGGGCAGUUACUGACACUGAGGCACGAAAGCGUGGGGAGCAAACAGG
rnacentral:rRNA from 1 species